UGGGGAAUAUUGGGCAAUGGGCGCAAGCCUGACCCAGCAACGCCGCGUGAAGGAAGAAGGCUUUCGGGUUGUAAACUUCUUUUGUCAGGGAACAGUAGAAGAGGGUACCUGACGAAUAAGCCACGGCUAACUACGUGCCAGCAGCCGCGGUAAUACGUAGGUGGCAAGCGUUGUCCGGAUUUACUGGGUGUAAAGGGCGUGCAGCCGGGCUGGUAAGUCAGAUGUGAAAUCUGGAGGCUCAACCUCCAAACUGCAUUUGAAACUGCUGGUCUUGAGUACCGGAGAGGUUAUCGGAAUUCCUUGUGUAGCGGUGAAAUGCGUAGAUAUAAGGAAGAACACCAGUGGCGAAGGCGGAUAACUGGACGGCAACUGACGGUGAGGCGCGAAAGCGUGGGGAGCAAACAGG
rnacentral:rRNA from 1 species